GACGAACGCUGGCGGCGUGCUUAACACAUGCAAGUCGAACGAUGAUGGCCCGGGCUUGCCCGGGCCGGAUUAGUGGCGAACGGGUGAGUAACACGUGAGUAACCUGCCCCUGACUUCGGGAUAACCGCGAGAAAUCGUGGCUAAUACCGGAUAUGACACCCCGGCGCAUGGUGGGGUGUGGAAAGACUGUGUCGGUUGGGGAUGGGCUCGCGGCCUAUCAGCUUGUUGGUGGGGUGAUGGCCUACCAAGGCGACGACGGGUAGCCGGCCUGAGAGGGUGACCGGCCACACUGGGACUGAGACACGGCCCAGACUCCUACGGGAGGCAGCAGUGGGGAAUAUUGCACAAUGGGCGCAAGCCUGAUGCAGCGACGCCGCGUGAGGGAUGACGGCCUUCGGGUUGUAAACCUCUUUCAGUAGGGAAGAAGCUCUUCGGGGUGACGGUACCUGCAGAAGAAGCGCCGGCUAACUACGUGCCAGCAGCCGCGGUAAUACGUAGGGCGCAAGCGUUGUCCGGAAUUAUUGGGCGUAAAGGGCGCGUAGGCGGCUCGAUAAGUCAAAGGUGAAAUCCCUCGGCUCAACUGAGGAACUGCCUUUGAAACUGCCGAGCUUGAGUCCGGGAGGGGGUGGCGGAAUUCCCAGUGUAGCGGUGAAAUGCGUAGAUAUUGGGAGGAACACCAGUGGCGAAGGCGGCCACCUGGACCGGAACUGACGCUGAUGCGCGAAAGCGUGGGUAGCAAACAGGAUUAGAUACCCUGGUAGUCCACGCUGUAAACGAUGGGUGCUCGGUGUCGCGGGUAUCGACCCC
rnacentral:rRNA from 1 species